AAAGAUUUAAUUGUUUAUUAUUAUUUCGCUGUACAAACAUUUAGUGCCGAUUUGUUUCCUACGAUAGUUAAUCGCAAACGCAAUCGCGACCUAAAGGGUUUUUACGACAGUUUUCAAACGUAAUGGUAGUUAUAACGUAUAAUAAUAGGUACAAAAUAAGGUUAUAGGGAUAGGUUUACGCGGGCACCAAGAGGGUCUGGGUUCCCCGCGGGCCCGCGAAUUUAACGGGCCCGCUGAGUUAUCGUUGUACGCGGGCUUGUCGAAAAUUCGGACAAACCGGACCCGGGUCGAUUCGGCCUCGGCUAUAAUACCGUCUAUCCGUAUCAGAGAUAACGUGUUUUUUUACGCCGGGUGAAAGUUUUGUUAGUCUUAAAAUAUUCAAUAGGUGCCCGACUAUUCAAUACGCGUGCAUACGUGUGUAACGAAUACAUGUUUCAGUAAAUCGUGCGUAGGGUUUAGGUUAUAACAAUAAUAUUAUGUACAUCGGUAUUACACUCGUUCAUUACGUUCCAAACAAACAAACGGUGUCGUCAAAACGCCACUCAAUGCGAUUCCACGUAAAACGGGAAUUUUUUUCUUUUUUUAUCAUUUAGAUAUUUGUGUUGAAAAAAAAAAAAUAAUAAUAAUAACUACUUAUAUCUCGUUUCCGGCGGAACAGGGUAAAACAAAAAUUUUAAAUACAUUUACACGUUCGCGACACGUAACCAUAGAGUUCGAUUGGACGGUUUCUUUUACGGAAGUCAUACGACGCGUGCCCGUAUCAUAGUUUUGCAGUAAUAAUAACAUUAUAAUUGUUUUGUGUUUUUACCGCAGUUAUCGUCGCGAAUCAUUUUUUAAAGGCUAUAAUAAUGGUCGGGCGGCCGCGUGCGGUUGUUUUUAUUUUUUCAAUAUUUUCGGGCGUGGAUGUGUUCGCCUAAGGCUGGGCUUUAACGAUAUCAAAAAGUUCGUAUGGUUCAACAUCGACGUCAACUUUCAACUUUUGGCUUUGAACACGGGGUUUUCACAGGCUUAAUUUAUUUUACUUUUUCCUCGGCGCAAGGCCGAAUAUCUAUGCACCAAACGAGUACUGCCCGAAUCCAUUCGCGUUUAAUAUCGAUAGUCAUUAUUUUCAAAAACAAAACUCAAAAUCUCUACGCAGGUUCAAUCGUUUCCACCGUGUCAGGAACAAUUUCACAAACAAAAAUUCAAAUCGAAUCAAUGCAACAAUUUAACUCGGCUCGGUCAGUUCGUAACUAACAGUUAUAACUUGUCGCGUGUAUACUGCGUUGGUUUUUUUUUUCGCAAUUAACUUUGCCUAGCCGCCGAAUUAACGCGGUAAAAUGAUUCGUUAAUUUGCCCAACCCUGAUUAUUCGAAUAUUUUAAUCCGUAUACAAUAAUUAUUGUAAUAUAAAUGAAAUACGAUUAUUUUUAUGUUUUAAGCGUAUCGCAGGUAUACAACGUAAAUAAAAAAAAGGAAUAGUAAUUAAUAUAAUACUAUCAUUAUAGUAUAAUCGAUGUAAUUGAACAGCCAACAGUAGAAAAAUAAAAAAAUAUACCAGUUUUUCGUUCGAACGGUAAUAUAGGUAAAAAUAUAGUAUUAUACAUUUAUAUAUAUUGACAAUACAUUAUACAAAAUGUUGACAUCGUUUUUUAGAGUACCGUUUGUAAGUACACAUAGGUACGUCGCUUUUAAUGAAUUAUUUAUAUAUUAUAUUAUGCAUAAAAAGUCGCGCUCGCGUGUUUAAAGAAUAUACCUAAAUAUCGAUCGGCCGGUGAAGAAAAAAAAAAAAAAAAAAAAAAAAAAAAAAAAACGGAAAAAAAUACGAUCGCCUAUAACCGCGCGUAAGACGGCAUAUUAACGGGAAUUAACGAAAAAAAAAAAAUUCAAUUAGAUUUCUGCAAUGUUUUAUGCGUUUUCGUUUUUGGUUAUUGUCCACACAAAUUUAUUAUUAUUAUUAUUAUGUAUGUAUAUCAUUCCUAUAUUGUAAUAUUAAGUGUUAUCCUAACGUUUUACCAGGGUUUUGAGCAUUGUACAUUAUACGGUUAUAUGAAUUAAAUAAACAACAGCGUGUUCCCUCCGUAGACAGUGAUAGAUAAUAAUAAUAAUAAUAAUACAUAAAACGACUAUAUAUGUGUGUGUGUGUGUGUGUGUGUGUGUGUGUGUGUGUAUCGGUAGAUAGCCAACCCACGUGAAAUGUUAUAGUAUCGUAAAUAGGUCGGCGGCCGUAAUAGUAUACUGUAAGAAGGCAAAUUACGAUUUGUAAUUGCGUAUUAUCGUAUUAAUCCGUGGAAUAUAAUAAUUAUUAUUAUUUUUUGUUCUGCGGUUUAUGUGCGACGAUUAGGGAAACUUGAAAAAAUUGUUUAAAAACACACAAAAAAAAAAAACCAAAAGUGAUUUUAAAGUAACCCCCCCCCCCCCCCCCCCCCCCCAAUAUAACAGCUUUAAUUUAUUGAAUCGAAUUCGCCUUUCGCUAUCAUAUUAUUAUGGCUGCCCGCGGGCUAUCCGAUUGUUUCGUAAUCUUAAGUGUCUAAAACAUAUUUUAUUAAUCUUUAAUCGACGAGUUUAAUAAUCGUACAAUGAUAAUACAAUAUCUUAACUAUAAUAUUAUAAAAUCGACGUUUGUAAAAAUAAAAAAAAAUAAAAUCAUAAAAAAAAAAAAGAUAAAUUAAUCUAAUUUUUCCCAAUCAAAUCGCGUGUAAAAAUUAUUAUUAUUAUUAUAAAGUAAACCGUUAUUAGUUUGUGCGUAGCGUGCGUAUACCGCGCUGGAUGUUUUUUAGUUAUUGUUGAAACAAUAAUAUGAUAAUACGUUUCUUUGUCCAACACGUGUACGCUGCAAAGCGAUUUGCGUACGUUUCGCCCGUCGACUAACUAUGAUCCACGCUAUGAAGCGAUACUCAAAAAUUUGAGUUUAUCGCUAAGUGUACACGAGAUCGGUACGGCAACUUCAAUUGAAUCGUAUGAAUUGGAACUUUUUUUUUGAAAUGACCAACCGAUAAACGAAAAAAGACUGUUUAAAUUACUGCGUUGCGUACAUUAUACGUUGGAUAAAGAAAACCAAGGAAAUCGCAUCGUUCCUUUUUCGAUUAUUGUUUGACUUUUGGUCGUUCGCCAAAUAAAAUUUGGUUAACUAUACCGAAACAAUUUUUUUGUCUAUAAGGUUUUAUUUUAUAUUUUUGACACGGAGUGUAUUAGUUCCGUUUACGGAGUAGGGAAAAUUAAAAAUUAUAUUCUCGCUUUUGAUUCCGGUAUAUUAUAUAUUUAAGAAAUAAAAAUUAUUACAAUAACCAAUUACAAUGUUAUUAUAAAUAUCGCUAAGCCGUAUGAAAUAAAAAAAUAUCCGAUAUCUCUAUAGCAACUACUCUGGCCCCACGGGCACAGUGUUUCCGAGUAAAAAAAAAAUUAAUAAUAACAAACCGUGUUUUUAUUUAUAUGUGUGUUUGUGUGUGCGUAUAUAUGUAAAAUAUCGCCCGUUUUAUUAUUUAAUAGUUAAAAAAAAUUAUAUAUUAUAUGUAUGUGUAUCGCGUCAAUUUUGCGGGGAUGAGCUUCGAAAAAGCACUUUAAAAUAACGGCUGCGUACGAACCGCGAGUCGGACAAAGAAAAAAAAAAUGGAAGACGUACUAAUCGAGUUGAUUUUUUUGAACACUGUACUAACCGAGAAUCCCGUCAGACUUUCAAAAAUUAAAACAUUUCCAUUUCCGUUUUUACACACUUAAAAAAAAAGAUUUUGAAAAAUAAAUUGUUCCAGAAAGAAACCGGUGUUGUUCUAGAUAAAGGUGAUACUUAACUGCAAGUUUGUGUUACGUUUAUUGCAGUAAAAAGUGUCAAGGGGGCAUUGAAUGUUGUUAAAUACACUAUUUACAGCAAAGGAAAGAGACUGCAGUAUUAAAAAUGUCGAAACAUUUAAGAAUAGCGAAAUUUCAAUAGGAAAAAUGCAUCUCCGAUUAAAGGCAUGUCUUUAAACAUACAAGUACACGACCACGACCAUUGUGUAGUGCUAAAGACACUUUACAUUUGCUGCAAAAAAGUAACAUAUCUUUGACAUACAAAAUCAAUGUUAAAAAAAUCCUUAUUUUUCCAAUUUUGUACCUAUAGAUGUAAUAUAUUAAAAAUGAAUGCGAUUAUUAAAAAACUAUGUCUUUAUUAUACCACAUCUGAUAUAUUUGAUUCGGUUUAUUUUUCCCUGGAAAAUCAUAAAAAGUCAGCGAUUUUUUCUAUUAUACUCUAUUGUACAAAAAUCCAUGGCUCGAACAAUGUUUUAUUUGUAUAUUAUACUCGUUUUACAAAAACUAAUUUGUUUCAUUCGAACCCGAGGGGGAGGAGAGUAGUAACUUCUCCCCCCCCUCCCCGCCCCUGCAAAUUCUACUAUAGCCCACAACUAACGAUUACUGGCUUAGAUGGGAGCACCCAUACGUAAUAAUAUCAUUUCGACGGAAAUUAAUAGCGUUUUCCAUCCGACUGCACUCGUGUGUGAGUCUACACUGGUGUACACUUUUCGCCUGCUAUUACCUGCCAUCAUCAGUGCAGUACGGUUAACGCGAGUUCCAUAUGACUGUGCAAUGUAAUGUUAUCUACACGUUUAGCGUGAAAAAACGAUUAUCGUGUAUAUCGUACAUAUCGUCCAACCAACUUUGAACUACAUUACGCCGUCGAUUUUGACGGCAGCGUAACAGUGUUAGGUUAUUUCACAAGCAUUUUAUAUGCGAACAGUACUUCUGUUCGACAAUCGUACACUAAAGUUAGAUUACUCAAAAAACUCAAACUAACGAUUACGAUCGCGGACGGACAAUACGACGGUCGUGUUCCACUUCUUGCUAUUGAUUAUAUAACCCGUAGGUCGGCACUCGCGGAAUGUGCGCUAUCAUUGAUCACGUGAAGUGUACACUGAUGUAGUUGGAUGAAAAACGCUCAGAGUUUAAUAUGACGACGUCCUGCCGCGCCGACCUGUAGACAGUUUCGUUACCGGGAUAAUAUCGUUGUUAUUAUAAGGACAGACGCUUCUCCUCCGAGGUUCAGGUCGAAAAUUAAAAAUGAUAUAAUAGUAUCCGGUUAUUCGGUAAUUUCGGGAAUUUCACCUGAAAUGAAAAUUCCGCGAAAAAUCGAAAAAAAGAUUAGUAACAACGAUUUUUUUUUUUUUUAAUUUUCCGAAAAACCGAGAUUUUUUUCUGAAAACGUAUUUGUUUUAAAGUCGCCCGACCAUGGAAAAAAACUCUGGUUUAUCUUCUGAAAUUCCAGCAUAAUAUAGUGAUUAAAUUUCACCCGAAAACUAAUCUCCGAACGAAUGUUCCCUGCAGACAGUGGUAUUACUACGCGAGGUAUAUUUUUGCAAUGGAUAAAAACGAAUAUGUUAAGACCGUCGAACGGCAUUUUUUUUGUAAAACUUAAAAUGGCGAAUAACAAUAAUGAAAAAUAAACAUAAAAACGAACGGACGGAAAUUAGGUCGUCGGGGAAGGUCAUCGUACCAAAGCGAUUUAGUCUGCACCCCUCCCCUCUGCUAAAUACGAUAAUCAAAGCGAGUUCUAUAGUCAUUUCGGUAAAAAAAAAAAAAAUAAUAAUAAUAAUAAAAACUAAAACAUUACGAGUCAUAAGUUCCUUACAAAAUACCAAACACCUAUAUUAUGUAUAAAACCGUAGCAGAUAAUUCUCGGGCUCAUCUCCGUUUGGACGUGGACACAUACUCUUACUUAUCGUACAUUAAGUUAACUAUAUAUUAUAUUAUAUAUAUAUAUACAUAAAAAAAAAAAUUAUACAUGAAUUCAAAGAUAAAUUUGAAAAAAAAAAAUUAAAACGUUUUUUGUGUUAUUUUCAACGAAGACAUUAUAUAUUACAUUAUAAAAAAAUAUUAUAUAUUAUUUUAAAGUGUGCGUGUUUCCAUUGUUAUAUUUAUACAAUAAUUAUUAUCAUUAUUAUUAUUAUUAUAUACGUGUAUUGCGUGAUUUAUGUAUUUUAAUAUGUGUGUAUUUAUAU